UCCAGACUCCUACGGGAGGCAGCAGUGGGGAAUAUUGGGCAAUGGGCGCAAGCCUGACCCAGCAACGCCGCGUGAAGGAAGAAGGCUUUCGGGUUGUAAACUUCUUUUCUCGGGGACGAAGGAAGUGACGGUACCUGAGGAAUAAGCCACGGCUAACUACGUGCCAGCAGCCGCGGUAAUACGUAGGUGGCAAGCGUUAUCCGGAUUUAUUGGGUGUAAAGGGCGUGUAGGCGGGAGCGCAAGUCAGAUGUGAAAUCCACGGGCUCAACCCGUGAACUGCAUUUGAAACUGUCAGGCUGGAGUGCAGGAGAGGUAAGUGGAAUUCCUAGUGUAGCGGUGAAAUGCGUAGAUAUUAGGAGGAACACCAGUGGCGAAGGCGGCUUACUGGACUGUAACUGACGUUGAGGCUCGAAAGCGUGGGGAGCAAACAGGAUUAGAUACCCUAGUAUG
rnacentral:rRNA from 1 species